ensembl:lncRNA
CAUAAAGUUUGUGCAGUACACCGCAAGGCACUGUAAAGGAUAGUGGCAUUUUUGUUACAACAUAAUUAUAAGUUAUCAAGCAUUUACUUAUAGAAAAUUGUUAGAGCUUUAUGAAGCAUGUGUGAGUGUGUAUGUGAUUGUGCCCUGCGAUGGACUGGCACCCUGUCCAGGGUGUACCCUACCUUGUGCCCGAUGCUCCCUGGGAUAGGCUCCAGGUUCCCCAUGACCCUGAAAAGGAGUAAGUGGUAGAAGAUGGAUGGAUGGAUAGUAAUGUUUAUAUUUUAAAAAAUUGCUUACAUGGGAUCAUUACCAACUUCUAAUGAAUUAUAAUCAUAGUUAUAAUGAUUUAUACAUAUCAGCUUCAUAGAAAAUACAUUUAGGGGUCUGAUCAAGACAGGUGACCAGGCCUAAUAAGAUAUUUUUGAAGGUCUCUAGUCAGUUGAUGUCCAGGGGGCAUACUUCCUGUAGUGGGACUAGCAAGAACAGAGGCCACACUUCCUUCACUGGGAAUGAAGAGGACACACCUCCUUCAUUGUGGCAGAUGGGUACAGAGGACACACCUCCUUCACUGAGGUAGAUGGGUACAGAGGACACACCUCCUUCACUGAGGUAGAUGGGUACACAGGCCACACCUCCUUCACUGAGGUAGAUGGGUACAGAGGCCACACCUCCUUCACUGAGGUAGAUGGGUACAGAGGCC